UUCCCCUAGGGUCCCAUCAGCUGCUUAUGUUCUACCUUCUGACGGAUCACAGGAGGAGCCUGCAGCGGAGGAGCCUCCUCCUCCUCAGCAUCAGACCUAAAGGGAGUGUCCUGCCUGAAGGACCGGCUCAAGGUCGCACUAACAGCUCUUGCUAACUCCUGUUCCAGGCUGUUUAUCUGGGCCUCCAAGUACCCUGCUUGCGCCUGGAGGUCUCUCACCCCCAGGUCCUGCUCAAAGCUGUGCACUUGGGCCCCCAGGCAUGCGGCUUGCUCCGGAAGGUCCCUUACCUGUGGCACUGAGCAUGUACUUCCUGCAGUGCAGUUAGAAAUGCCCAUCCGACUCUGCUUGCAAAGUUCCUUUAUUUAUAGGCACAGCUGCUUAAAGACUGUUACCGGAAAGGAAUCCUGAUCCAGACGCCAAGAGAGGGUUCUUGGACUCAUGCAAGAAAGACUUCAGUUCUCAGGUCCCUGGACCAUGAAGGGCCACAUCCAAGGAGCUACCCCAGGAGGCCUCUCAUUUGCAUUUGUCCCCGCUAAUGCAGGACAGAGAUCAUGGAAGUUGGGCCCGACUGGAUGAGAUUUGGGGGUCUUUGGAAGUGGAGAAUGUGUUUGCCCUGGGGAAGAGGUGAGUAUGUUCACAGGACAGUUGUGAGUUAUUGUGGUCAGAGGGAAACCUGGGUCAGAUGGGUUACAAAGAUGGGUGCAAAACCUCUCUGUUCUUCAUGCAUGCCUCUCCAAAAUAUGACUUUGCCAUUUCUUUCAUGAAGAGGUGAUGUCUAGGAGACCUCUUCACUCAGGGCAAGCUCUAUGACCUGCUUUGACUCCAGAAUGUGGUAGAAGUGGCAUCACAUAAAUUGCAGAGCCUAGGCUUCAAGAGACCUUGCAACUUGCCUCUCACUGACUUGAAGUGCUCCCAUCAGAGCAUCUUGUAAGGAGCAGGUGGAGCAUGUGGACAAGCCAUCCCCACCAGCCCCUGAGACAUGUGAGAGAGGCCAGAACAGGCCAUCCGGACCCCACUGUGCUGGUGGAUGAGACAGCAGAAGGAAUAUCAACCUACCAACAGAAUCCUGAGAAAUGCUCACUCUUACUUCAAGCUGCUGCAUUUUGAUGUUAUGAAACCAUAAAUAACUUAUGAAGUCAUCUUUGCUGACUUAAAGUUUUCCAUAACUUUAUUAUAACAUAUCAAAAUUAUGAAAAAUGUGAAAAGUAGAAAACUGAUGAAUUUUGCUUCUUCAUAUGGUCUUUAAGAAUCUCAAAGGCACUGAAGUUUUUUAUCUUUUCUGUCUUAGAAUAAAAAACCUUGAAUGAAAAUCUGCUUCUUGGAAAAGCAGCAAGGUUUAUGCAGAGGCAAUCUGGUAUUUGUGUGCACUGGCAGCUGAUCAUACCCAGCAUGCACGCACUCUCAGGGCAGAGUCUGAUGCCCCACAUAAUGGGGCAUGGUAAGGACUCCCAUGUCCUUGAGAUAAAAUGAUAAGGAAAAUACACACUGCUAUUAGAAUAACAGGCCCAGCUUCUGCACAUUUUAAUUCCCAAAGUUUUCAUGAAAGACAAUGAUUUUUUGGUACCAUGUUUAACUCUACAAGAAUCAGUAGUGAAAACUAAAAAUGAUACUUUGUGAAAGUUCAUUAAUUUUGUUUUCAGCCAGUGGUGGCCUUGGUCAGAUAGAAUCAAAUCUAUGAUACUUUUUAUCAGAAAUGCUUAUACUGUGUACAAACCCAAAGUGAUGGCUUUCAAAGAUUGAAUUUGAUUAUUUUCUGUAUGGUGCAGAUGAAAAAUUACUACACAGGAGAAGGUGGGUUGGAGGUGCUCACGAGUAACCAGGAAACAGUCUGAAGUUUUUCUGAUACUUCUCCUUGGUCCAACCAAAUGUGAGAUAUAAACACAAACUUGGGAUUCCGUUC
rnacentral:lncRNA from 1 species